rnacentral:rRNA from 1 species
UACGAAGGGGGCUAGCGUUGCUCGGAAUUACUGGGCGUAAAGCGCACGUAGGCGGUCUUUUAAGUCGGUGGUGAAAUCCUGGAGCUCAACUCCAGAACUGCCUUUGAUACUGGAGAGCUUGAGUCCGGGAGAGGUGAGUGGAACUGCGAGUGUAGAGGUGAAAUUCGUAGAUAUUCGCAAGAACACCAGUGGCGAAGGCGGCUCACUGGCCCGGUACUGACGCUGAGGUGCGAAAGCGUGGGGAGCAAACAGG